rnacentral:rRNA from 1 species
GACGAACGCUGGCGGCGUGCCUAAUACAUGCAAGUCGAGCGCAGGAAGUCAUCCGAACCCUUCGGGGGGACGUUGACGGAAUGAGCGGCGGACGGGUGAGUAACACGUAAAGAACCUGCCCUCAGGUCUGGGAUAACCACGAGAAAUCGGGGCUAAUACCGGAUGGGUCAUCGGACCGCAUGGUCCGAGGAUGAAAGGCGCUCCGGCGUCGCCUGGGGAUGGCUUUGCGGUGCAUUAGCUAGUUGGCGGGGUAAUGGCCCACCAAGGCGACGAUGCAUAGCCGACCUGAGAGGGUGAUCGGCCACACUGGGACUGAGACACGGCCCAGACUCCUACGGGAGGCAGCAGUAGGGAAUCUUCCACAAAGGACGAAAGUCUGAUGGAGCAACGCCGCGUGAACGAUGAAGGCCCUCGGGUCGUAAAGUUCUGUUGUAAGGGAAGAACAAGUGCCGCAGGCAAUGGCGGCACCUUGACGGUACCUUGCGAGAAAGCCACGGCUAACUACGUG